GUGGGCUGGACGAUCGCGGCACCCGCCUCUUCGCAUGAAGAGGUGUGGGUGAUGAGGAAAGUCCGGGCUCCGCAGGGUAGGAUGCCGGCUAACGGCCGGGCGGGGUGACCCGACGGACAGUGUCACAGAAAAGAAGACUCCGUGCAUGCACGGAGAAAAGCUGAAACGGUGUGGUAAGAGCGCACCAGCGUCGCGGUGACGCGGCGGCUUGACAAACCCCAUCCGGAGCAAGGGCAAAUAGGGAUGCCAUGAGUUGACCCGACUCGCAUCCGGGUUGCCUGCUGGAGGGUGCCGGUAACGGUACUCCUAGAUAAAUGAUCGUCUUAGAAGACAGAACCCGGCUUAUAGGCUCGCUUU
rnacentral:RNase_P_RNA from 1 species